rnacentral:rRNA from 1 species
UGGGCAACCUGCCCCUGACACUGGGAUAACCCCGGGAAACCGGAGCUAAUACCGGAUACUCUCGGCCGAUCACAUGGCUGGCCGAGGAGAGGUCCGCCGGUCAGGGAUGGGCCCGCGGCCUAUCAGCUUGUUGGCGAGGUAACGGCUCACCAAGGCGACGACGGGUAGCUGGUCUGAGAGGACGACCAGCCACACUGGAACUGAGAUACGGUCCAGACUCCUACGGGA